rnacentral:lncRNA from 1 species
UUUUUUUUUUUUUUUUUUUUUUUUUUUUUUUUUUUUUUUUUUUUUUUUUUUUUUUUUUUUUUUUUUUUUUUUUUUUUUUUUUUUUUUUUUUUUUUUUUUUUUUUUUUUUUUUUUUUUUUUUUUUUUUUUUUUUUUUUUUUUUUUUUUUUUUUUUUUUUAACAGAGGCCAUGACUGGUCUUACACAAGAUCUAGGGAGCAGAUGGGCCAGGAAAGCAGAGCCAUGGUGACCAGCCAUAAAAGUGUUCCCCCGGGGUGUCUUAACAACAGCUGAAGCAUUAGAGGCAUUUCCUCUAGAGCCAUCUGGCUUUGAUUUUUUUAAGCUAUUUUUUUUCCGUCGACAGACAGCCACAGAGUUAAGGAAGCAGUAAUUCUUCUCUAGUUACUGUAACUGCUAGUGAAAAAUCACCAGUCUCUAAAGCCAAUUGUAGAAUACAUAACCCAUCUGACUAAAGGGUGUUCUUCUUUAGAAAAAAAAAAAAAACUGUAUUAUUAAAGAGGAAUUUUGUGAAGUGAUACUAUAGUUUAAACUCAGUGUACAUGUUUUUCAGGAGAUCUUAUAGGUUAAUGUUGGCUUGCUUUAUUCCAGCUCAUUGAAGUUUCAGUUAUUCCCUUCUGCCACCCUCAAAAAUGCUUUUUAAAAACUGAAACAAACUAAUGGUACUCUUUGGAAAGGCACCCCUUUUCCCAUCCCCACCCCAAGAUUUAUUUUGACAAUAAUUGAAAUAAUUUCGAUGGUACCUCAGUAAUGCACUGAGUUGUAAUUUAUUAAAGAUUUAUGAAGUUCUGAUUAGAUCAAUGACUGCAGUUAGAAAAGCAAUCUCGUCUAUAUUGUUGAAAAAGAACAUUUUCCUAGAAAGGGGUUGUGGCUGGCAAUGUCCAAUUGCAAAAGCAUUUAGAAGACAAGAAAGUGAAUUAGCAGAAUGGGAAGAGAUGGUGAAUGAAGAUAUAUGCAAAUGUUUGCAAAUUUUUGAUGAAAAUCUUGUUCUAAAUCAUAGGUUAUAUAUGAUUCUAAAGACAGACGAUUGAUGUCCCAACAUCAACCUUAUUGCCAGAAUAAAACAAAAGGAGAUGCCAGCCACAGGUAUCUUUCCUAAAAUAUAUAGUUUCAAAACAAAAAAAAAGUGUGGAUUCUAGAAAUAAUAAACUGAGAGGCUGAGAGUGAAUAGGGGCUGGCAGUCAAUAAGACUAUCUAGAAAUCACUAGAGAAAUAAAGCCAUACAAAGAAAAAAUGAACCAUAUUUAAGAAGCUACAGGAACAUGAUCAGGUUAUGUCACAGGGUGCAAGGUAGGUCUGGUUGGUUCAGUUGAACCCAGAAACUGCAAACAACAUAUGGGUAAUAGAGAUCCACUUCUAUUUGCACUUCCUGCGUAGCAUAAGUUUUGGCUUUCUGUUUUAAUGGAAUAUUACAGUAACAGAGUUGAUGAUGAUGACAAGCUU